rnacentral:rRNA from 1 species
UACGUAGGUGGCAAGCGUUGUCCGGAAUUAUUGGGCGUAAGCGCGCGCAGGUGGUUUCUUAAGUCUGAUGUGAAAGCCCACGGCUCAACCGUGGAGGGUCAUUGGAAACUGGGGAACUUGAGUGCAGGAGAGAAGAGUGGAAUUCCAGGUGUAGCGGUGAAAUGCGUAGAUAUCUGGAGGAACACCGGUGGCGAAGGCGGCGUUCUGGACUGCAACUGACACUGAGGAACGAAAGCCAGGGGAGCAAACGGG